rnacentral:tRNA from 1 species
ACUUAGGCUAAUACUAAACCAAGGGCCUUCAAAGCCUAAAAUAGAGGUGAAACUCCCCUAGUUUCUGAAG